rnacentral:rRNA from 1 species
UACGUAGGGUGCGAGCGUUAAUCGGAAUUACUGGGCGUAAAGCGUGCGCAGGCGGCUUUGCAAGACAGAUGUGAAAUCCCCGGGCUCAACCUGGGAACUGCAUUUGUGACUGCAAGGCUAGAGUACGGCAGAGGGGAUGGAAUUCCGCGUGUAGCAGUGAAAUGCGUAGAUAUGCGGAGGAACACCAAUGGCGAAGGCAAUCCCCUGGGCCUGUACUGACGCUCAUGCACGAAAGCGUGGGGAGCAAACAGG